CACUCCGGUUGCCUAGUGGUUAGAGCGUCCGCCUCGGAUGCGGGAGGUUGUGGUUUCGAUCCCCUGUCGAGUCA